CCUACGGGGGGCUGCAGUGGGGAAUAUUGGACAAUGGGGGCAACCCUGAUCCAGCCAUGCCGCGUGUGUGAAGAAGGCCCUCGGGUUGUAAAGCACUUUCAGUGAGGAAGAACGCCUGGUGGUUAAUACCCAUCAGGAAAGACAUCACUCACAGAAGAAGCACCGGCUAACUCCGUGCCAGCAGCCGCGGUAAUACGGAGGGUUCGAGCGUUAAUCGGAAUUACUGGGCGUAAAGCGCGCGUAGGUGGCUUGAUAAGCCGGUUGUGAAAGCCCCGGGCUCAACCUGGGAACGGCAUCCGGAACUGUCAAGCUAGAGUGCAGGAGAGGAAGGUAGAAUUCCCGGUGUAGCGGUGAAAUGCGUAGAGAUCGGGAGGAAUACCAGUGGCGAAGGCGGCCUUCUGGACUGACACUGACACUGAGGUGCGAAAGCGUGGGUAGCAAACAGGAUUAGAUACCCGAGUAGUC
rnacentral:rRNA from 1 species